rnacentral:rRNA from 1 species
UACGGGGGGGGCAAGCGUUGUUCGGAAUUACUGGGCGUAAAGGGCUCGUAGGCGGCCAACUAAGUCGGACGUGAAAUCCCCAGGCUCAACCUGGGAACUGCGUCCGAUACUGGAUGGCUUGAAUCCGGGAGAGGGAUGCAGAAUUCCUGGUGUAGCGGUGAAAUGCGCAGAUAUCAGGAGGAACACCGGUGGCGAAGGCGGGUCUCUGGGCCGAUACUGACGCUGAGGAGCGAAAGCGUGGGGAGCGAACAGG